CUAUUAACAGAUACAAAAUAGUGCCUAGCUGCUUCCCUCUCGAAAUACAUUCUGUUGAAGGUCAGUCGCUUUGGAAUGGGGUUGUAGAGAGGAGGUAGCGAAGAGGGAAUAAUGAGGAUCCUUCCUCUCCCAACUCCUCAUUAAGGAACUCUGAUCAAGCAUUCAGAUUGACUUCCAGUGCCACACUGCAGAAUUGAACCACCGAGGGAUCUGCUGACUCUUCUAAAAUCACUACAGUGUCACUACCACAGCACUACAGCAUCACUGCCACAACCAAGAAAACCACCACCAUCAGAAAGCUCCUGCCUGCUGCCAGCUCCAGAACCAUGCAGCACCUGCAUCAACACCAGUAAAACAGAUGACUUAUGGCCUGCCUCUCAAGUCUUAAAAAUCCAUUAUGGGUCACUGGAGACUCUGCUAACAACACUAUACAGGAGAACCAAACAACAGUUAAAACUGCAGAAAUGUAGCCUCAUUUCUAGCCUCCAAAUUCCAUGUGACUACAUCUAAUUUGCUAGAUAUAGUUUGUUUAAGCUACAUUUUUUUUUCCAAAUCAUGACUGCCUGAGAACCUGAGAGAUGUAGUGUUUUG
rnacentral:lncRNA from 10 species